UUCCAUUGACUGUAUAAAUCUGCCGGUCUCUCUCUUCGCUCCAGUAUGUAUUGCGUCAGUCACAUGAUGCUGGAACUACUGAGCCAGGGGCUGCUGUGUUGCUUCACUUUGCUCUGGUCCGUCUGAUAACAGGUGCAUUUAACUAAGUUUACCUCAGCCAAGGAGGCCAUGGCUGUAGGACGAGGCUGUAGCUAAUUCUCUUACUAUCAUUUUGUUGUGUUGGAUGUGAUAUCAGCUUCUGUUGAUUGUAACCAGGGUGAAUUGGGAGCAACAGAAACUGUGGCACCACAAAACAAGGCUGCUAUGUAAAUGUAGCAACGAAGGGAAUGACAAGGUGGUUUUUCAUAGAGCGCACUGACUACCCAUGGAGCUUUAGUAUUGCCCUGCCAUUGUGUGUGUAUGUGACUGGGAGUAGAGGGAUGUAUAGCAGUCCUAUAGAUCUGUACAGUCAGACUAACAGUCCUAUAGAUCUGUACAGUCAGACUAACAGUCCUAUAGAUCUGUACAGUCAGACUAACGGCCCUAUAGAGCUGUACAGUCGGACCAACGGCCCUAUAGAGCUGUACAGUCGGACCAACGGCCCUAUAGAGCUGUACAGUCGGACCAACGGCCCUAUAGAGCUGUACAGUCGGACCAACGGCCCUAUAGAGCUGUACAGUCGGACCAACGGCCCUAUAGAUCUGUACAGUCGGACCAACGGCCCUAUAGAGCUGUACAGUCGGACCAACGGCCCUAUAGAUCUGAGUCCUGUACAGUAGCAGCACAUAGCAUCACACAGCAAUAUAAUAUGGAAAUGUUUUACAGCAGCUUCACCAAGCAGACUACAGCUAUCCCUGUAUCCUCUGAUUCUUUAAUGAGCCAUCCAACAUGAUCAGGGGCUCUAUAUAUAGAACAGCGGCCUAUACCCUUGGCUGAAGAUGUUUCCAUAGAUGAUGGUCAUAUAUAAUGAGAAGAGGCCUGUUCUGUUGGAUAAGAUCUCUUUGGUAAUGCUGUUUAUAUAUGAUGUUAUAUAUGAUGUUUGAGGACUCAUUUACUACAGUAGAUUGUAUUGCGAGAGCGUCUUGACAUUUUAAUGUCCACCUCCCCUACUAUCGGUCUACUCCAACAGUUAGGACAAGUCUAAAUGACAUGGUUUUAUAUUCACAUGGUUGAUAAACACUCUGCAGUGCUGUACUGUGGAUAUCUCUUUCCAACUAUCCACACGUCUCCAGAGAUCUCAUCCAACAACAUGAUUGGACAGUCAGCCAGUAAUGGCCUAGCCACUAGCCUGGUCCCAGAGACUUUGUAUAGCCAACCUUCCUGUCGUUCAUUAUCACGCCAAACCACCGCUAGCAGAGCUGACGGGGGCUCAUAAUGAAGCAGACAGUACAUGGAAGGUUUGGAGGGGAGGCUGUGCUGUGGAGACUGGGGCUCAUAAUGAAGCAGACAGUACAUGGAAGGUUUGGAGGGGAGGUUGUGCUGUGGAGACUGGGGCUCAUAAUGAAGCAGACAGUACAUGGAAGGUUUGGAGGGGAGGCUGUGCUGUGGAGACUGGGGCUCAUAAUGAAGCAGACAGUACAUGGAAGGUUUGGAGGGGAGGUUGUGCUGUGGAGACUGGGGCUCAUAAUGAAGCAGACAGUACAUGGAAGGUUUGGAGGGGAGGCUGUGCUGUGGAGACUGGGGCUCAUAAUGAAGCAGACAGUACAUGGAAGGUUUGGAGGGGAGGUUGUGCUGUGGAGACGGGGGCUCAUAAUGAAGCAGACAGUACAUGGAAGGUUUGGAGGGGAGGCUGUGCUGUGCUGUGGAGACUGGGGCUCAUAAUGAAGCAGACAGUACAUGGAAGGUUUGGAGGGGAGGUUGUGCUGUGGAGACUGGCGGCUCAGUGGGCUAAUGCCAGACGAGGGCUCCAGAAGGCCAGGGACAGCCUGGCCAGGCUCAGAGCUGCCUGGAUGGGCCUAGUUCCAUGAUCACAUGGCUGGGAGUCUGGCAGGGACACAGCCCUGGGUGAUGCUCAGAAUAUUGAUAACUUCAGCAGUGAGGAGGGCAUGGACCAUGUAUGUACAUCUCCCCACUGGAGCAGGGAGGGAAGGCUGCCAGCCAAACUCUACCGACAGUACCCCUCUCCUCCUCCCUCUCCGCUACCCCCCUCCAUCUCUACCCUGCUCACAAAGCCCAGGGCCUACAGUUCUAUUGGCCUGGGAGGGGGAGUUGGAGGGAGGUGAGAGGGGCUCUCCUCCUCCCUCUCCGCUACCCCCCUCCAUCCCCACCCUGCUCACAAAGCCCAGGGCCUACAGUUCUAUUGGCCUGGGAGGGGGAGUUGGAGGGAGGUGAGAGGGGCUCUCCUCCUCCCUCUCCGCUACCCCCCUCCAUCUCCACCCUGCUCACAAAGCCCAGGACCUACAGUUCUAUUGGCCUGGGAGGGGUAGUUGGAGGGAGGGGAGAGGGGCUCUCCUCCUCCAGUCUCUCCAUGCUGGGAACUUUUAUCAGUGCACACAAAAAGGGCCUCUGAGGCAGACAGGGAGGCUGAGGUGGGGGUUGUUUUGGGGGGUUAGCCACAAGCUAUUGUGGAUACUGUAUUGUUUCAAUAGGAAUGUGUGGUUGCAUUCAGUAUUCCCACACUAGCCUACAGUACUGCCAAGGAUAUUACCAGAAGUGAAAUGAGAUGAAUGAAAAUGAUUUGGACAUGGGAUAAUUGAAGGAAACAUGUUUAAUUGGAGAGUUAUGUGAAAUAUUUGGUGAUGGUGUUCUAGGUUCUAUGUUUGGGAUCAUGGUUGUUUUUUGUCAACUGUUUUUAUCAGCCGUUAUGGGCAUAACAAUGUUUUAUCAGCCGUUAUGGGAAUAACAAUGUGUUUAUCAGCCGUUAUGGGAAUAACAAUGUGUUUAUCAGCCGUUAUGGGAAUAACAAUGUGUUUAUCAGCCGUUAUGGGAAUAACAAUGUGUUUAUCAGCCGUUAUGGGAAUAACAAUGUUUUAUCAGCCGUUAUGGGAAUAACAAUGUGUUUAUCAGCCGUUAUGGGAAUAACAAUGUGUUUAUCAGCCGUUAUGGGAAUAACAAUGUGUUUAUCAGCCGUUAUGGGAAUAACAAUGUUUUAUCAGCCGUUAUGGGAAUAACAAUGUUUUAUCAGCCGUUAUGGGAAU